UGCCAAAGAACCAUCCUAUUCUAAAUCAGUAAGAUAGUUAUUAUUUUUUUACAGUUAUUACAUUCUUAUUCAAUUGGUUCAUCCUUUGAAGAAAGAUUGAAGGAGCAAUAACAAGGCCUGCAUCGAGGAAGGAAAACUACCUCAAUUAGCUUUGCGGGACUCCUAAGACAAAGGGGGAGAGUGUGCAUACCAGUAAUAUAAGCAAUGAACAGGUCUUCAAUAUCAGUGCUCUCCCUUCUCCUUUACCUAGCAGUAUAUUUAAAAUUUUGAAUUAUUUACUUGUCGUUUUCUUCUUUCUCCCUAGUAAGAUUUAAUGAUUUUUUGUGUAGCUGUUGUUAACCUAAACACAAGGAGGAGAGCCACUUCCUAGUCAUGCUCAAUUUCUCAUUACAGACUGAGCUACUGGAUUAAGUAACAUAAUUUGUAACCUUGAAGAAAAACACACAUGAAGACAAACUGAAACUCAAUUUCAUUUUGCAUAACUAUUAUGUGCAAGUUGUCAUUCAAGGUAUUACAUCUUGUGGAGAAAGCCUUCACUCUAUUGAAAACUAAAUUUCAGUACAUAAGCAGAAUAGCAAGAAGUACCCAUUAUCCAAGCCCAUAGCCACAUCUAACGAAAAUAAAGUAAGUAGCUUAGAGAGAGAAUGAAAUCAGACUAUUAAUAUUUUAUCACAUAUAAAUUAUCUUGGAUUGGUAAAUUUUAUAUCCAUAUUCUCAGCUAUAAUUCUCUAAUCAAUCUAAUCAUAUAGGAAAAACAAUCACUAAAAAAUAAGAACUCACUCCCCCUCAUUUUUUUCCCUUUGCUCACAGGAAAUAACAAAAACAAGACAUCUACAUUUUAAUAUGCAAAAACAGGAACCUCAUCCAGAAAAUCCGCAUAAAGCAGGGAAGCAAGAGCAGAAGAGAACUUAAUAUACCAUUAUUUAUGAUCCUGUAUAAUCAUCUUUGUGAAAAAUUAAGUAGAAAAAGAGAUGCAUGGCAAGCCAGAAUGAGCGGUCAAUUGCAUAUCAGUUGUUGAUCGCCAGAAGCGACUAAACCUGUCGACAUCAAAGAAUACCAUCGAGAUAUAGGAAAUUUAACCAAAGGUUUUGAUAACCAAGAGAAUAAAUAAAUAUAGGUGUUAGAGUUCAUUUAUUACCUCUAAACAUGAGACACCAAUCAGAUGAGUAGAGCAAGCAGUUUCUAUGCAGUCCUUACCCGGUCAGUCCCCCUAAAUUUACAAGUAACACUACGUGCAUUUGGAGAAAGAUCAAACUUCAAUAUUAAUGGUAAUCAACAACAUAAUUCUAUAACUCUUGUUUAAGUACAAAUAAAGUUGAUCUGUAGCAGCAUAACAUUAAAAAAAAAUUUAAACUUACAUACCAAUACAUAUCUAGCCUGUUAAUACAAAGAGGAAGGACAUGUAUAUAAAGACGCCAUUAUAAGGGCAGAAAAUAAAUAUGCAGCAAGAAAUGAAGAUCAAAGAACCAAAUAAUAUCUCAAAUUCACAAUUUUAACGAAAAAUGAAGAAAACUUUAGUACCUAAAACCAACCAAAACAGAAGUAGCAGUGUGCAAAUAUGAAAAGAAGAAUUUAACCAACCUGUCGAAAUGCUUGAAGACAUACAGGAGGGGUACACCUUCUUUUAAAGAAUCU
rnacentral:lncRNA from 1 species